CUAAGAAUCUUUCCACAAUGGACGGAAGUCUGAUGGAGCGACGCCGCGUGGACGAUGAAGGCCGUGAGGUUGUAAAGUCCUUUUCGGGAGGGGGAAUAACCCGGGGAGGGAAUGCCCCGGGGAUGACGUGAAUCCCGGAAUAAGCCCCGGCUAACUACGUGCCAGCAGCCGCGGUAAUACGUAGGGGGCGAGCGUUGUUCGGAAUCAUUGGGCGUAAAGGGUGCGCAGGUGGCCCGACAAGUCUGGCGUUAAAGUGCGGGGCUCAACUCCGUGAUGCGCUGGAAACUGUCUGGCUUGAGUACAGCAGGGGGCGUCGGAAUUCCAGGUGUAGGGGUGAAAUCUGUAGAUAUCUGGAAGAACACCGGUGGCGAAGGCGGACGC
rnacentral:rRNA from 1 species